rnacentral:rRNA from 1 species
AUUGAACGCUGGCGGGAGGCCUAACACAUGCAAGUCGAACGAGCGGCGGACGGGUGAGUAAUAUAUGGGGACUGCCCGAUAGCGGGGGAUAACUACUGGAAACAGUGGCUAAUACCGCAUACUAUCGGAUGACCCAUAUUGGAUUAGCUAGUAGGUGGGGUAAAGGCUCACCUAGGCGACGAUCCCUAGCUGGUUUGAGAGGAGGAGCAGCCACACUGGGACUGAGACACGGCCCAGACUCCUACGGAGGCAGCAGUGGGGAAUCUUGGACAAUGGGGGAAACCCUGAUCCAGCCAUGCCGCGUGUAUGAUGAAGGCCUUAGGGUUGUAAAGUACUUUUGGCAGAGAAGCGGUAUCCGCAGAAGAAGCACCGGCUAACUCCGUGCCAGCAGCCGCGGUAAUAC